AUCUCAUUUUCUCUAUUUUCUCUUUCUGGAACUCUAAUUGUACAAUUAUUAGACUUUUUUCAUUCUAUCCCCGUUGUCUUUAAACAUAUCAUUCCCAAUGCUUUUCUACUCUGUGAACUAGUAAGUAUAAUUUAUUCAGAUCUUGCUCUUAGUUUACCACUUCUUUGUUUCAUUAUAAUCUGGUAUUUAGAUUAUGUAUUUAUUGUUAUCUAUUUAUAACUGAAAUUCUAUUUAUUUUUUCUCACAUCCUUAUUUUUAACAAAUUCUGAUGCCUCAUAUUUGACUGAUGAUAAUUUUUUCUUUUACUAUGAAAAAGACGAUGAUAAGGAUACCCUAAGUUCCAGAAAGGAUUUGUGUUUCUUUUUGACAAGAUCCUAGGGUGUUAUCAACCUAAAAGGACAUUCAGUUUAUUACAUUGAAUUCAGGGUUCCAGGACUUUCAGAUAUAGAAAUGAAAACUCCCACCCCACAACCUUCUUGAUCAGAAGCUUAUAAUUUCAAAAUUCUUAAGGGAGAAUUAUUCUUCACUGAGUAAAGGCUUAAUAAAGACAAGUUACAGAUUACAUUUGCUCACACUCUAGUCAGGGUUAAGUGCAUGCUUAUAGCAGAGAUGUGAAAAUGGGAUUGUUUCCACAGGUUCUGUAUCUCUGUAUCUAUAAGACCAUGCCAACCCUUUCAUCCAGGCAAGAGAGGAAAGGCAGCUCUCGCAGUAGGUCUCUUCAAAUACAACUGAAGAAAUCUUCACUGGGUUCCUUCUUGUAUCAGCUGUUUUGAUGUUAAAGAUGGCCAGAGCCCAGAUUUUGUACGUUUUAAAUUGAUAAGCUGAAAAGUUAAAAAAUUGGAUGAAAAUUAUGAAGAUAGUCUGACAUGAUAUAUUAAGAACUCUGAAUGAUGCCUAGGGAUGCAGAAGAGAAGAAAAACACUUGAGUAAGUAAACAAAGUUUAUGAGACUUGUUUAUGCCAGGAGAGCAAGAUGAAUAUUUCUGACUAAAAGUUAAUUAACUAUUUUGCCUCAGCGAGCCAAUUUGUCGUCUUAAACUUUGAUUCAUUAACUACAAGCUGAGACGAUUGCUUAUUCCUUAGUGUACUUGUAGACUGAGUUUGUGUUAAAUGGUGCUGUGAGAUAUUGUCUGUUCUUCCCAAUUGAAACUAACCGAAAAGGCUAUUAUAAAGAAAGUAAGACUUUUUAAGUGGCAGUAAGUAGAUGGGUAUUCUUUCAGAGCAAAGCCUAAGAACUAUAUGGCUUAAUUGCAAAGCUAAUCAACCCUUAUUAAAUAAAACAAGGGUAAAUCCAGGAUUUUUGAGUCUGUAUUUAAUGGGGCAUGAAAGUUGAUGAGUUGGCGAUUCUGAAGUUUUAAGUCUUGUGAACUUAUGAGUGGUUCCCCUUCAGGGUGUUUCACUUGGAGACUGUAACCUUGUCAAGAUAUUGGCUUUGUCUUUUAUCAUUGCAUGUUUUGUGAAAGCCCAUUUGUUGAAUAAGGAACUUCUUUGAGCUCAUAAAUGGGCAAAUGAAAGCAAAGAAUUUAUGGGGAAGAGUAGCAACUAGACUCCUAGUAUAUUGAUCUUUAAGAUUUUAAUCAUAGCUAAAGAAGAUAUGUGAAGAGUCAGAAUAUAUGCUUCUUUAAAAAAAAAGUCACACUUGUACAUGACUAAAUCUAUAUCAUAGGACAUAUUUGUAAACAUUCAUGUAACUUAGGUAAGUUGUAUCUAUAAACUUUGAUAUGAAUAGAAAAGAGGAAACACCAUUCUUCAUCAGGAGUGAUUGCUUUUUUCUAUAGCACGCAACAUGAAACCUUCUGUCUUGCACCUGCUCUCUGAUCCUACUGUGAAAGACAAAAAGCCCUGUUUGUCUGUGAGAAUUCUUCUCAUUAGUGCAGAUAGUAGAGCCCCUUCAAUAUUGGCUAGACCAUGAGUUCCAUGAGAGUAGGAUGUGUGUUGAUAGCUGUACCUAGUACCUAGAACAAUGCUUUUUGAAUGAAUAAAGCAAUGACUCAAAAAAUGAUGAAUGUACCAGGACAUUUUGAAAUAUACUGAGAAAGUUUAGUCUUGUUUAGUGAAAUGAAUAACAAAUUAAACCCGAGUUUUCUGCAAGAGUCUGGACUAAGCAGAAAGUUUAUGGUCAAUGAGUUACAGUCUUUGCUCUUCUACUUAUUGUGUAACUUUGGGUAAUCUAUUUAGUAAAAGGUGAAAGAUUUAUACAAUCUAAAGAGAAACCAGAUUAUUGGUAAUCUAAUCUUUCUAAUCUCAAUUUUCUUAUUCAUAAAUUAGGGUUAAUAAUGAUAAUAUCUUUCUCACAGGCUUACUGUGAGGAAUAAAAAAGAUAAUGUUUGUAAAGUGCUUAGCAGAGUGCCUGCUACUUGGCUGUAAGAAUUUGUGAAGCUGCCAUCUGCUAUGAGGCUAUUAAUCCUAACAUGAAAUUUGUCUCAAAAGAGAGUUAGAAAAUACCAGUGUCUAUAGUUGAGAUUUUAGAAAGGCAGAAAAAUUUAACUAGUAGAAAUUUAUAAAACAACUUUUCCAUUUUCAAAUAUUUCAGCCUGUGAUAUAUACUGGUAAUGAGUUACAUUCAUGCCUGCUGUCUUUUCUAAAAAAGAAACACAAAAG